AAAGUGUUGAAAAUAACUGUAAACUAUAAAGUAUAUAAAGAAGAAAGAUUUAAGUCAAAAAUUUAAAGAGAAAACUCCUAGUAUUUACUUAAGGAACAUACGGUCAGUGUGCCAGGUCCAGGAAGAAAAAGUGAUAUUUCCUCUGAAAUCAGGCUUGGAAGACAAUUCUCCUGUGGUGAUGUAAGCUACGUUUAUUUUGCAGGAUGCAAGAAUAAAUGUCAAGUUUUUCAAUUCAAAAUAUGAAAGGACCAAUCUAAAUUAAAUCUGGAUGGAGGACACAUAUAAACCCAUGUUAAAGGAGGCUCAGGGUAGAGAUAAAUUUUGAGAAUAUAUUAAAAAUUUCACAAUUGGUAUUUGUUUAUAACAUAGAUAAGGAGAUAAGAAAUCCCUCUUUAAGAAAGUAGUCUCUUAUGUUUGCAUAGCAGUUCAUAGUUUCAAAGUCUUUAUGCUUCUAAUAUUUUUUAUGAGUCUCAGAGUAAUCCUCUGAGGUGAACAAGACAGCCACUUUCCCCAUGGAUAAUGUAGGGGCCAAAAAAUGCAACUUGCUUAUAUCAUGUAUGUGACAGAAAUGAGACCAGGCACUCACCUUUGAUUCUCUUCAAAUACAUUUCUACUAUAUUAUGCAGCCACGUUAUAUUCUGUCUGGAAAAAUAAGUGAAAAGUUGAACUAUUUUACCUUUUAAGAGAAAGUAAGUGUGAGCCUUACACUUAAAUAUAAAAUAAAACUAACCAGUAUGAUUUGGUGCUAUAUCGGUAGAAGAAAAACAAGAAAUUUUGUUUUAUGAAAACUUUUUAGAAAACA
rnacentral:lncRNA from 1 species